AAACUUACGUGGCAGGGCAGAUACCUUGAUCAACUCGGUGGUUUUUCCAGGGUGAAACAUCUAUUGCAAUCCUAAUGUGAUGACCCCUAUGAUUUCUCUCAAGGCAGGAAACUAGACUACAUAAUUUGUGGUAGUGAAGAACUAUAUUCACACUCUCUUCUU